rnacentral:rRNA from 1 species
CCUACGGGCGGCAGCAGUGAGGAAUAUUGGUCAAUGGUCGUAAGACUGAACCAGCCAAGUAGCGUGCAGGAUGACGGCCCUAUGAGUUGUAAACUGCUUUUAUACGGGGAUAAAAGGCGUCACGUGUGAUUGUCUGUAGGUAUCGUAUGAAUAAGGACCGGCUAAUUCCGUGCCAGCAGCCGCGGUAAUACGGAGGGUUCGGGCGUUAUCCGGAUUUAUUGGGUUUAAAGGGAGCGUAGGCGGUAGGUUAAGCUAGCGGUGAAAUGCCGAGGCUCAACAACGGAACUGCCUCUGAAACUGGUCUGCUAGAGAGUAGGUGCAGUAGGCGGAAGGUAUGGUGUAGCGGUGAAAUGCUUAGAGAUCACACAGAACACCGAUUGCGAAGGCAGCUUACCAAACCACUACUGACGCUGAGGCACGAAAGCGUGGGUAGCGAACAGGAUUAGAUACCCCAGUAGUC